rnacentral:rRNA from 1 species
AUUGAACGCUGGCGGCAGGCUUAACACAUGCAAGUCGAGCGGUAACAGAGAGAAGCUUGCUUCUCUGCUGACGAGCGGCGGACGGGUGAGUAAUGCCUAGGAAUCUGCCUAGUAGUGGGGUAUAACUUGCCGAAAGGUAAGCUAAUACCGCAUACGUCCUACGGGAGAAAGGAGGGGACCUUCGGGCCUUUCGCUAUUAGAUGAGCCUAGGUCGGAUUAGUUAGUUGGUGAGGUAAUGGCUCACCAAGACCGCGAUCCGUAACUGGUCUGAGAGGAUGAUCAGUCACACUGGAACUGAGACACGGUCCAGACUCCUACGGGAGGCAGCAGUGGGGAAUAUUGGACAAUGGGGGGGAACCCUGAUCCAGCCAUGCCGCGUGUGUGAAGAAGGUCUUAGGAUUGUAAAACACUUUAAGUUGGGAGGAAGAGCAGUUAACUAAUAUUUGACUGUUUUGACGUUACCGACAGAAUAAGCACCGGCUAACUUCGUG